AUUGAACGCUGGCGGCAGGCCUAACACAUGCAAGUCGAACGAGUGGCGGACGGGUGAGUAAUGUCUGGGAAACUGCCUGAUGGAGGGGGAUAACUACUGGAAACGGUAGCUAAUACCGCAUACCAUCAGAUGUGCCCAGAUGGGAUGAGCUGGUUGGUGGGGUAACGGCUCACCAAGGCGACGAUCCCUAGCUGGUCUGAGAGGAUGACCGGCCACACUGGAACUGUGACACGGUCCAGACGCCUCCGGAAGGCAGCAGUUGGUAAUAUUGCCCAAUGGGCGCAAGCCUGAGACAGCCAUGCCGCGUGUAUGAAGACGGCCUGCGGGUUGUAAAUUACUUUCAGCGGGGAGGCGUUACCCGCAGAAGAAGCACCGGCUAACUCCGUGCCAGCCGCCGCGGUAAUUC
rnacentral:rRNA from 1 species